rnacentral:rRNA from 1 species
GACGAACGCUGGCGGCGUGCCUAAUACAUGCAAGUAGAACGCACAGUUUAUACCGUAGCUUGCUACACCAUAAACUGUGAGUUGCGAACGGGUGAGUAACGCGUAGGUAACCUGCCUGGUAGCGGGGGAUAACUAUUGGAAACGAUAGCUAAUACCGCAUAAUAUUGAUUAUUGCAUGAUAAUUGAUUGAAAGAUGCUAUUGCAUCACUACCAGAUGGACCUGCGCUGUAUUAGCUAGUAGGUGAGGUAACGGCUCACCUAGGCGACGAUACAUAGCCGACCGGAGAGGGUGAUCGGCCACACUGGGACUGAGACACGGCCCAGACUCCUACGGGAGGCAGCAGUAGGGAAUCUUCGGCAAUGGACGAAAGUCUGACCGAGCAACGCCGCGUGAGUGAAGAAGGUUUUCGGAUCGUAAAGCUCUGUUGUAAGAGAAGAACGGGUGUGAGAGUGGAAAGUUCACACUGUGACGGUAUCUUACCAGAAAGGGACGGCUAACUACGUG